rnacentral:rRNA from 1 species
ACCUACGGGGGGCAGCAGUGGGGAAUUUUGGACAAUGGGCGAAAGCCUGAUCCAGCCAUGCCGCGUGCAGGAUGAAGGCCUUCGGGUUGUAAACUGCUUUUGUACGGAACGAAAAGACUCUGGUUAAUACCUGGGGUCCAUGACGGUACCGUAAGAAUAAGCACCGGCUAACUACGUGCCCGCAGCCGCGGUAAUACGUAGGGUGCACGCGUUAAUCGGAAUGACUGGGCGUAAAGCGUGCGCAGGCGGUUGUAUAAGACCGAUGUGAAAUCCCCGGGCUCAACCUGGGAACUGCAUUUGUGACGGUAUAGCUAGAGUACGGCAGAGGGGGAUGGAAUUCCGCGGGUAGCGGUGAAAUGCGUAGAUAUGCGGAGGAACACCGAUGGCGAAGGCAAUCCCCUGGGCCUGUACUGACGCUCAUGCACGAAAGCGUGGGGAGCAAACAGGAUUAGAUACCCGUGUAGUCGG